AUGGUAAGGUAACGGCUUACCAUGGCUACGAUGUCUAGGGGUUCUGAGAGGAAGGUCCCCCACACUGGAACUGAGACACGGUCCAGACUCCUACGGGAGGCAGCAGUGAGGAAUAUUGGACAAUGGAUGGAAAUCUGAUCCAGCCAUGCCGCGUGCAGGAAGACGGCCCUAUGGGUUGUAAACUGCUUUUGUAUGGGAGCAAUAAGAUCUACGUGUAGAUUGAUGAGAGUACCAUACGAAUAAGCACCGGCUAACUCCGUGCCAGCAGCCGCGGUAAUACGGAGGGUGCAAGCGUUAUCCGGAUUUAUUGGGUUUAAAGGGUGCGUAGGCGGUUUGAUAAGUCAGCGGUGAAAUAUUUCAGCUUAACUGGAAGGGUGCCGUUGAUACUGUCGAGCUUGAAUUCAGUUGCUGUGGGUGGAAUGUGUGGUGUAGCGGUGAAAUGCAUAGAUAUCACACAGAAUAUCGAUUGCGAAGGCAGCUCACAAAGCUAAUAUUGACGCUGAUGCACGAAAGUGUGGGGAUCAAACAGGAUUAGAUACCCUGGUAGUCCACACUGUAAACGAUGAUAACUCGCUGUCGGCGAUACACAGUCGGUGGCCAAGCGAAAGCGAUAAGUUAUCCACCUGGGGAGUACGACCGCAAGGUUGAAACUCAAAGGAAUUGACGGGGGCCCGCACAAGCGGAGGAACAUGUGGUUUAAUUUCGAUGAUACGCGAGGAACCUUACCCGGGCUCGAACGGUGCAUGAAUAGAUCAGAGAUGGUUUAGUCCUUCGGGACAUGUAUUCGAAGUGCUGCAUGGUUGUCGUCAAG
rnacentral:rRNA from 1 species